UCACCCAGGCUGGAGUGCAGUGGCACAAUCUCAGCUCACUGCAGCCUCUGCCUCCUGGAUUCAAAUGAUUCUCCUGCCUCAGCCUCCCGAGUAGCUGGGAAUACAGGUAAAGACAGGAAGCAUGAUUAAAGGCAUGUAAAAUGGAGCAUGUGUGGAGAGCAUUUGUGACAGCCCUUAUAGGCUUGAGCUCUGUGAUGACCAGAGCUACACAUGAUAAUCUUUAGUGGAUCUGCAUCAUUAUUUUAUACAAAGAGUCAAGGAAACUUAAUUUGAGCUACUUAUGGCCUUUAAUAAUUGAGAAAGUUAUACUCCUGUGUACAAAAUUUGGAGCAUAUUUGUUUCUCUUUGCCUGGUUCCUCUAGAAUUUGGAAACUAUCUGCCCAGGAACCACCUGCUCUUGGGACCUCAAGAAGAGAGGAGUUUACCAAACUAACAGGCCAUCAAACUCCAACUGGUCAUGCAACUGGAGCCUUGAACUAUGGCCCCUUCUGCUGGGGACAUUCAGAUAGUCUUCUGAAGGAGCUCUGUCUGCCAUUUUCCCAAAACAGUACUCCCUGUCAGCAGGAAGCAGUUAAGAUUGGUCUUCAUCCUUUUCCUUAUUCUUAUUCUAAUGGCAGUUAGAUGUACUUCUUUAGAGGGGGAAUGACAGAUGCAGGAAGAAGAUAAGGGGGAGGGUCCCUGGAGAAUCUCCAACUGGCCUGUGCACUGGAAGAACAGGGUGAAACCAAGGGAAGUUCACACUGUUGAACUUUCAGGCCAGCAGGGAGGAGCCUGGCCUCUUCAGUUCCUGUGUGGCACGCUAGGAUUCAAUCUCUGAGGUGGGAGGCUGGUUAGCAGGACUUCAUUUUAGAGUUUUUUUCUUUUUUUCCCUUUUUGCCCAAUAAAAUCCUGCCCUACUGACCCUUCAAUCUGUCCACAUGCUUAAAUUUUUCUGGUUGUGUGACAAAAGCCUGGUUUUAGCUGAACUAAAGAACAAAAUUGUGCAACAAACUGUUAAGUUUAAGUUUUUCCAUCCUCCAAUUCUUUCAUGUAUAUUUGGAGUCAUUUUUAUUAGUGAGAAGUUAAACUAUACUCCAGAAAAUGAAAGCUAAUUUCCCCUCAGAAACAGGUAAGUGAACAGACGGCCCUUGUAGAAAAUUAUAUAUAUAUUUAUCUAUUAGACUUAGGAUGCCUCCAGGAUAAAUAUAUGUGUCUAGUGGCAAAAUUUGAAAUCUAGUUCUUUCCCUUUGUGAAAUCAUUUAUGGAUUUCCUUUAAAUUUUUUUUUUUAACUUAUUAGUCCUGAACCAUGAAUGCCUUAGGAAGCAAAAGGUCCUGUUAUUCCCUGGGCUGAAAGGACUCUGGGAGAUGAGUGAUAGAUUAUAUAAGCUAUACAAGGACAGUCAAUUACUAUUGAAAUGUGCUAAAUAAUGCCCUGAGGACUGAAUAAAUUAGUGUCUUUUCUACAGAAUUCAGUGUACUUUUGUAUUGGUUCCAUAUAGCUUUGGAAGGUGGGCAAGCUGUUCCUUUCUCAAUAUGUAGAAGAUGUUAGUAUCUGGUAAAGAAAAGAUGAAACAUCUUCAUAUAGUCAUUUAGUACACACUCAUGUUCCAUUAGUAUUAUUGGAAAUUAAACAUUUUUAACCCAAAUAAUAGGAGUUUGUUUAAUGGCACUGCAACUUUUUAAGCCCACAUGAAUGCUUUUAUUUAGAGCAUUAGUUGUUUGUUUCUUCUUGAGUGUUUGGUCUGAUAAGUUCAAAAGGUUUUCCAGAGGACUGGGAACAGAGCUCAACAACAGCUUCCAAAUCUUUUUCAAAUCUCUUAAUAGUGCUGCAUACAAAGAAUUAGGUAUCCCUGGAUCCCAUUCAUAGCCUUGCUUUACUUCACCAGUAAUUGGGAGGGGAUCAUAUGAGAUGAUGUCAACACUAGCAUGACCAAUAUAUCAUUGUAGAAUAGGCUUAUGACCUUGAUAAACUUUUCUUGGCAGCCGAACAUUCUGAAAUAUCUGCCAGAUUUCAGGUCUAUUGACAGUGCCAAAUGUUUUUAUUAGGUCACCAUAGAAUUCUGGGUGCUGUUCCAUGUAUGAAGCUGCAGAACUCACAUUUGGAAUUAUGCACAGAAUGUUGGAGCUGGAAGGGGCCUUAGAAAUUUUCUAGUCUGGCCCUCAUAUUAAUGAUGAAGAAAUGGAGGUACAGUUAAUUGAAGUAAACUGCCCAAGAUCACAAAACGAGUUAGUGGCAAAACCACGCUCACUGAUCAGUUCCUCUGAACUCCAAUUCCCUCUUACUAAUGGUUGUUCCACUGUAAAAGUCAUCAACUUUGCUGAACAGAUGGAAGUGAAAGAAAUGGUGAAUCAGUGGGAAUGGGCCAAGCAGUGAGGCAUAUCUAUUCUUUAUUAUUCUCACUCAGAACAUAGCUUUAAAAGCAUUUUAUUGUUGAUUUAAUGUUCUUUUGUAAUCCUUGCUUUACUUAAGGUCCACUCUUCAGUACUUUUUUCUGAUUAAUUUUUUUACUGAGGUAUAAUUUUCAUAUAGUAAAAUGCACAGAUGUUAAGAUCCUAUAUUUUAAAAAUCAAUAUAUACACCAAUGAAUCCAUCAGUCAAAUCAAGAUAUAGAAUAUUCCCAUUACUGCAGAAAAUUCCCCUGUGUUUUUGCAGUCAAUCCACACCCCUUGUCUCCACCAGAGGAAACUAUUAUUUUGAUUUAUAUCAUCAUUGAUUGUUUUUGCCUCUUUUAGAACUUUGCAUAAAUGAAAUCAUAUAGCAUGUACUCUUUUGUGGCUGGCUUCUGCUUAACAAAAUAUUUUUGAGAUUCUUCAAUUUGCAAUUGUACCAGUAGUUCAUUCAUUUUUGUUUCUGUGUAAUAUUUUUACCACCAUUUAUUUAACAAUUUUCUUGCUGAUAAACAUUUGUGUUGUUUUCAGUUUGGGGUUAUUAUGAAUAAAUCUGCUGUGAACAUUAUAAUACAAGCUUUUGAUUGACAAAUAUUUAUUAAUCUUAGAAACAUACUGAGGAGUGAAAUUCCUAAGUCAUAAGGUAGAUGAUAUUUAACCUUCUUAGACACUGCUGUACAAUUUUCCAAAGUGAUUGUACCAUUUCUACACCCGCCAACAAUAUAUGUACCUUUCAGUUGCUCCAAACUUGACAUUGUAGUCUUUAUUUCAGGCAUUCUGGUUGGU